UUUUGAAGAACAAACAAUAUAGCCUAAACAACUUGAAGGUGUGUUUUCCUGUCCAGAGAUGAUUAAUAAUUUCUUUUUUUUUUUCUUGCUUUGUUCGCUUUUUAGAACAUAAUCAAAAAACCAGAAGAGCCGAACAUUGCAAAGGAACAUUAUCGCAACAGUACAGAGAAAAGUAUUAAAGCAGCUGAGUAUUUUGGAGUAACACAAAUUCGAUGAUGAAGACAUUGUAGAAGAUGUUCAGUUUCUCCACGAAAAAUUGCAGGCAUCCGUUCAAGAUUUAAGGUAUCUGGUAACUACAAGUAAAAUAUCAUAAGAUUUUCCGGAAGAAGUUGGCUCCCAUUAGUGGAGAGGAACAAAUGCUGCUGUUAUUUGGUGUCAAUCAAUUCUGGUGCCCUUUUAAUUAUUUCUUGAGAAUGAUUUUUCCUCCAAAGGGACUCGUGCUGAUAUCUUGGCAACUAGUCAUGUAUUAUAAAAGUAUGAUGGUGGCACUUUCUCAACUCAUUUAUUGAACGUAAAUUUUCCAGAUUUGUUGUCUUAAAGUAAAGUCAUCCAUGAAGCAUGAGCUAAAAUUCGCUUUAGCUGUAAUUAAACAGUGGCAUGAGGGUGUAAUUAAAGCCUCUGAAAACAUUGUAAAUGUCUCUCCAAUGAAUGCUUAAUUUAAGCACAUGCAUAAACAAUUUUGUUAGUGUAUGAAUUGGUUGGAACUCAAACAAUUUACCAUUCCCCAUUUCGAGUACAUUUUGUCUAAAUUCUAUUUUAGUUUUUUCCAUAAGAAAGUUCUCUAAAGUAGGUUAAUUUGAAAAUCUGUAGUAGCAUCUUUCAACUGAUAGAGACUUCUUCAAGAGUUGCUGUUUUAAUAGUUGUAAUAUUUUCAUUCUUAUUAGCCUCAACUCAACUUUACAAUUGACAGGGUGUGUUGGGAACAACUACAAAAAUCUAAUACAGCAUUCAUCUUUUUGCACCAUGCCAAUCAGCUGUGCUUAAAUUUUUUAUCGCUGUAAACUGCAUCUUAUUUGAAAUUGGUCACCUCUAAGCCAGUCAAAUAGGCCAGACCGAAUACUAAACGCAGGAAAGUUCAGAGAUGUUGUUUUUUUUUCUUUGCUGUUUUGUCCAGCCCCUGGUUCCCUUAAAAAUCAGUAGCUUUUCUCCACAAGCCUUAGCAGUUAAUCUCAAACAAAAGAUCAAAGAAAAAAUUUCAAUAGUUUGGAACCUAAAGUCGUAAGAUGCUAAACCUAUUUACCAUAAUGCUUAUGAGCGGCUGAUUUCACUUGAUCUAAAAUGACUAGUUAUGAACGAGAUUAAUUAUAUUUUUUCAACAACUCUUGUGCUGCAGUAUUAGUAUGUAAUUCUUAUGUUCAUUGAAAAAAAUCUCUCUAUGCUCCAAGCCACGAUGACAACACAUAAUUAUUUUCCCCAAGUUCAUUUCAUAGCAAUGUCACCUAUCACUGUCCUUGGUGGAUCAUUCUAUGAGAUGUUGAUGAUGUAUUUUUGAUUUGUUAAAUUUUAUUAUUGAGGUAUCAUAUAAUAUUGUUAAUGUUAAAUUAUAUAUCAAAAAAUUAUGCAAUUUUA